rnacentral:rRNA from 1 species
UGGGAAUAUUGCACAAUGGGCGCAAGCCUGAUGCAGCGACGCCGCGUGAGGGAUGACGGCCUUCGGGUUGUAAACCUCUUUCAGUACAGAACAAGGCCUUCGGGUUGAGGGUAUGUGCAGAAGAAGCGCCGGCUAACUACGUGCCAGCAGCCGCGGUAAUACGUAGGGCGCGAGCGUUGUCCGGAAUUAUUGGGCGUAAAGAGCUCGUAGGCGGUUUGUCGCGUCUGCCGUGAAAUCCUCUGGCUUAACUGGGGGCGUGCGGUGGGUACGGGCAGACUGGAGUGCGGUAGGGGAGACUGGAAUUCCUGGUGUAGCGGUGGAAUGCGCAGAUAUCAGGAGGAACACCGGUGGCGAAGGCGGGUCUCUGGGCCGUUACUGACGCUGAGGAGCGAAAGCAUGGGGAGCGAACAGG